UACGGAGGGGGCUAGCGUUAUUCGGAAUUAUUGGGCGUAAAGGGCGUGUAGGCGGCUUUGUGUGUCCCGUGUGGAAGCCCUCGGCUCAACCGAGGAAUUGCAUGGGAAACUGCAGAGCUUGAGUCCGGGAGAGGAGAGCGGAAUUCCCAGUGUAGCGGUGAAAUGCGUAGAUACUGGGAGGAACACCGGUGGCGAAGGCGGCUCUCUGGACCGGUACUGACGCUGAGACGCGAAAGCUAGGGGAGCAAACGGG
rnacentral:rRNA from 1 species